ACACGAGUAGUGCAGUAGUUAGCAUGCCGUCCUCCCAACCGACAGGCGAAGGCCGACGGAGACGUGGGUUCAAAUCCCGCCUCGUGUA